GUAAUACUCCAUAGUUCGUUAUUACUGGAAUGUUUUUCGAACGAAAGAUCCGUCGCUUCAGGAUGAGUCUGCGGCCGAUUAGGUAGUUGUUGGGGUAAUUGCCCAACAAGCCCGUAAUCGGUACGGGUUGUGGGAGCAAGAGCCCGGAGAUGGAUUCUGAGACACGAAUCCAGGCCCUACGGGGCGCAGCAGGCGCGAAAACUUUACCAUGCGGGCAACCGUGAUAAGGAAACCCCGAGUGCCAGCACAGGCUGGCUGUCCGCCAGUUUAAACAACUGGCGAAGAAAGGGCCGGGCAAGACCGGUGCCAGCCGCCGCGGUAAUACCGGCGGCUCGAGUGGUGGCCGCUAUUACUGGGCUUAAAGGGUCCGUAGCUUGAUAAUAGGGUCCCUUGAGAAAUCCGCCGGCUUAACUGGCGGGCGUUCAGGGGAAACUUGUUUUCUAGGGACCGGGAGAGGUGAGGGGUACUGCCGGGGUAGGAGUGAAAUCCUGUAAUCCCGGUGGGACCACCUAUGGCGAAGGCAUCUCACCAGAACGGGUCCGACAGUGAGGGACGAAAGCUGGGGGAGCAAACCGGAUUAGAUACCCGGGUAGUCCCAGCUGUAAACUAUGUGCGUUAGGUGU
rnacentral:rRNA from 1 species